CGCUCGUACCUCCGAUUCCAAGGAAUCACACGGAACGGCUCGGCCUCGCGUCUUUCUUCUCCCCCUGCGACUCCCGCAACCGCGCCGCCGCCACUCCCUCUUCUAUCUCUCCAUCUGCGCCACCCGUCUCUCCCACUAGUGCGCCGCCUCUCCUCUUCCAUCCCUCUCUGGCGAUGCAUCUCCAUCACCUAUCAGCUCCGCGUCGGGUGGCUGCAGAUCUCCAUGUCGAGCUGCUGUGGAUCUCUGGCGAUGCUCCAUGUCGGGUCGCUGCGGAUCUCCGUGAGCUGAAACUGGAUCGCGGUAAGCGGCUGCACCUCGCAAGCAAGCUAUGUGCUGGUGAACUCGUUGCUGUCCCUCAGUAGCGACUUUGUGGUGUCGGCCAGUGACUGCCAGCUCCGGCUGCAGUGCUAAUCCCUUAUCUAUGUGCCACAGUUGGGCAAGCAGCGACAAUCAACUACUGAAUCGAUUCGGGAAUACGUAUUAUUGUGUUCUGAAACUUGGUAGAUUUUCCUAAUCACAGCAGCAUGAUUUUGUGUAAAUGGCUAGUAUUUUGACAUAUCUUUUGACAUAUAUAUGGAUGGAGGCUUUGCAUUUUGACAUGAAUAUGAAUGCAUAACUUGUAUUUUGACAGUUUUUAGGCUAGUUUUUUGACAGAUUUUUGACAUGUACUAUAUGAGUGAAUAACUAGUAUUUUGUUUGGCACUUUUUAUUAUGUGUUAUAAAUACAAAGACUAAUGACAAUCAUGCAUAUAUGUGACAUCAAAUGCCUUCCAUUACUUUAUUUCUAACUAAACACUGAAAUGGAACCGUUCCAUUAUACCUACUUGCCCAACCAAACGUAGGAACGGAAUCAACCCAUUCUAGUGGAAUGGAAUGUCACGAAACCAUGACAUUCCAUUCCACUUCGUUCCCGAACCAAACACACCCUAUCUCUAUGGCCAAGGUCAUUGCCUGUGGACAGGCAUAGAGUGUUCAUUGUUAAUUUAAAAAUGUUCAUGUCUAUUUUAAGAAAAUCAACAUUAAUUCAAAUAUUGUUCAGGUGUAUUUAAAAA
rnacentral:rRNA from 1 species